rnacentral:rRNA from 1 species
UACGAGUGCCCCGAGCGUUAUCCGGAAUUAUUGGGCGUAAAGGGUGUGUAGGUGGCGAUGUUAGUCUUCUGUCAAAGCCCCGGGCUUAACCCGGGAUCUGCAGGGGAAACGGCAUUGCUUGAGGGAUGCGAGGGGUGAAUGGAACUCAUGGAGUAGGGGUGAAAUCCGUUGAUAUCAUGGGGAACACCAAAAGCGAAGGCAAUUCACUGGCGCAUUCCUGACACUGAAACACGAAAGCGUGGGUAGCGAACGGG